UACGUAGGGGGCAAGCGUUGUCCGGAUUCAUUGGGCGUAAAGAGCGUGUAGGCGGCCAGGUAGGUCGGUUGUGAAAACUGGAGGCUCAACCUUCAGAGGUCGACCGAAACCAUCUGGCUAGAGUCCGGGAGAGGAGAGUGGAAUUCCUGGUGUAGCGGUGAAAUGCGCAGAUAUCAGGAAGAACACCCGUGGCGAAAGCGGCUCUCUGGAACGGUACUGACGCUGAGACGUGAAAGCGUGGGGGAGCGAACAGG
rnacentral:rRNA from 1 species